AUGCAUGUGAUGAGGAGGGAUGCCAGGCCGUGUUGUGUGGAUGGGGAGGAGGUGAGCAGCGCCGAGGAGCCUCUCCUGCGUCCAGGGUCGCCCCCUCCUCAGCCUGCCCAAUGCGGGCGCGCGGGGACCUGCCACAUCCCAUCCCCGCAGCUGGAGGAGGCAGGGGCUGAGCGGGUAGGGGGUGGGGGUCCAAACUCCCGAGCUCUGAGCGCAGAACCUCGGAGCUGCGAAGCCCCAGACGGCGAAGUUAGGAAGUCGGGGCGCCCGCCCCUCCCCCGGCCCCCUUCCACCCUCGCUGCGCCCCUACUCGCCGCGCCCCCAGCCCCCCGCCGGAGCCUUCCUUACCUUCCCCAGCAGCAGCCGCCCGCCGGCGAGGACUCGAUCCGGCGAGUUGCAAAUCCCCGCGAGUGCCUCGCGUCGCCCGCGGCCGAGCCGGGCGCCCGACCGGAGGGGGGGCUCCUCCAGCCGCCGCCGCCCCCGGCCGGCUCCGGGCCUCGCCGGGACGCCCCCUGGAGCGCACCCGCCGGCGCACGCAGGCAGCCUCCCCUUCCUCCCCGCUGCAGGAGCCCCCCGGGCGCCCGGAGGGUCGGGAUGUCGACGCUGCGGACGACGCUGGGCGCGCGGGCCCGAGCCGGGCCAGGACGCUGCGCUGCCGCCUGUGCUCCGGGCUCACCGGCUCCGCGCUCGCUCCGCCGGGGCCGCCGCCAACGCCGCGCCCGCCGCCACCGCUCCCUCUCCGGCCGCCGCCGCUGCCGCUCCGCUCCUCUCGCCUGCCCGGCUCUUCUCGCCUUUUUUCCCCUUCCUGGGGGGGGGGGGGCGAGCCGAGCCGAGCCGGGGGCGGGGCGGCGCGGGGAGGAGGAGGAGGCCGAGGACGAGGAGAAGGAGGAGGAGAGAGGCGAGAGCUGCUUCCCCCCACCCGGCUGCCGGCGCUCCCCAAUCUCUCGCUCUCUGAAACUGGAUCCCGAAUCGGGAGCCAGAGACUGCAUUACGGAUUACAUCAGGCUUUAUAGAGCUUCCAGAUCACACAUUAGAGGGGGAGCGCGAGCGGGGGGCGGGGGCGCGGGGGGAGGGGAGCGAGAUAAGGUGGGGGGCGGAUAA
rnacentral:lncRNA from 1 species